rnacentral:lncRNA from 1 species
CAAACAGACAAACAAAGUAAAAGAAAGAAAAGAGGAGUGCCAAGAACCUUCAUUUUGCCUAUUUCUCAGGAUUAUCGUUUGGAGCAAGUUUGGGAUUUCCCUGGACUCAUAAGAAGACCAAUUUCUAAACCAGCACCUGCCUCUCCACCACAUGACCUCAUCUUCACCAUAGAGGUAGAUGUCCAGUUCACACCACCUGAAAAACUGAGGGCCUCAGAGAAACUGAGGCCUCAGAGAAACAGAGAAACUGAGGGCCUCAGAGAACUCCUGCAGGCCCUCCAGCUGGCCACUGCCAGCCCUGCCCAGGACCCCAUAUCUCACCAGUUACUUGUGUCCACCCUGUCUCCUUGCUCCAUCCUACCCCAGUUUAGAGAGUGAGAAUGCUGGCUGGGACCCCAAAGACCUAUCUGCAACUCCCCAACUCCAAGAAAGGGGGGGCUCCAACAAG